GGGGACGACUUGGUUUCGACGCCGGUUACAAACCCUGAGGUGCAUGUCGAGUGGGCAGUAACACUCGUACUCCAAUUACUGUAAAAAAUAGUCGCAAACGACGAAACUUACGCUCUAGCAGCCUAAGGGCUCUAGCACUCAUGCCAAGGUGCUUGUACCGCGGUUUUUAUGAGUGUCACCCAUAACAAGCUAGCCUGUGCAGCUGCUCCAGUUGUACACGCGAAACAUCAGGAGAUCGCCUUUUACACCCUGCCCUUCGGGUCGUAACGGGUUAACUGAAUAGAGGGUCCUAAGCAUGUAGAGCCAAUGGCAGAGGACUGGCGGACGCGGGUUCAAUUCCCGCCGUCUCCACCA
rfam:Hahella chejuensis KCTC 2396, complete genome.